AAGAAUAACCGAGUACAACCUGCCAUGCAAGCGAGCCGCGGAGAGAAGGAAAGGAAAAAUAGCCAGUUGUGGCCGGUACAGACUCCAGAAAUAAGUGAAUGGAGAGAAGUGAUCUGAACCAACUGUGGUUAGAACGUCUCACUUUUAUAAAACCACUACCAGCAGCCAGGAACCCUAGGAGGAUAAAGGAAAAUCUUUUCCUUCCCUACAAAGGCCUCUGUAAAAUGGUCCACUGCCCAUCUUACCAAGUUUACUUUCCAACAUUUUCCUUGAUGGAGUCUUGGCAACAGCCACAGCAGCUCUCACUCUUCAUGCCCUGAGCUCUUCCACCCACGUGCCUUUGCCCAGGAUCCCCCUCCCACAUACAACUCCCUCUCUUACUCUGGGUGUCCUUCAGAGUCUAUCUCAAAUAUCCUCUCCUUCAUAAACUUUUCCCUAAUUUCCCA